AUACGUAGGGUGCGAGCGUUGUCCGGAAUUACUGGGCGUAAAGAGCUCGUAGGUGGUUUGUCGCGUCGUCUGUGAAAUUCCGGGGCUUAACUCCGGGCGUGCAGGCGAUACGGGCAUAACUUGAGUACUGUAGGGGAGACUGGAAUUCCUGGUGUAGCGGUGAAAUGCGCAGAUAUCAGGAGGAACACCGGUGGCGAAGGCGGGUCUCUGGGCAAUAACUGAAGCUGAGGAGCUAAAGCAUGGGUAGCGAACAGGAUUAGAUACCCUGGUAUUCCAGGCCGUAAACGGUUGGUGCUAGGUGUAGGGGUCUUCCACGACUUCUGUGCCGUAGCUAACGCAUUAAGCGCCCCGCCUGGGGAGUACGGCCGCAAGGCUAAAACUCAAAUGAAUGGACGGGG
rnacentral:rRNA from 1 species